UAGGGAAUCUUCGGCAAUGGACGAAAGUCUGACCGAGCAACGCCGCGUGAGUGAAGAAGGUUUUCGGAUCGUAAAACUCUGUUGUUAGAGAAGAACAAGGACGUUAGUAACUGAACGUCCCCUGACGGUAUCUAACCAGAAAGCCACGGCUAACUACGUGCCAGCAGCCGCGGUAAUACGUAGGUGGCAAGCGUUGUCCGGAUUUAUUGGGCGUAAAGCGAGCGCAGGCGGUUUCUUAAGUCUGAUGUGAAAGCCCCCGGCUCAACCGGGGAGGGUCAUUGGAAACUGGGAGACUUGAGUGCAGAAGAGGGGAGUGGAAUUCCAUGUGUAGCGGUGAAAUGCGUAGAUAUAUGGAGGAACACCAGUGGCGAAGGCGGCUCUCUGGUCUGUAACUGACGCUGAGGCUGGAAAGCGUGGGGAGCAAACAGG
rnacentral:rRNA from 1 species